rnacentral:rRNA from 1 species
GUGAGGAAUAUUGGUCAAUGGGCGAGAGCCUGAACCAGCCAAGUCGCGUGAAGGAAGAAGGAUCUAUGGUUCGUAAACUUCUUUUGCAGGGGAAUAAAGUGCGGGACGUGUCCUGUUUUGUAUGUACCCUGAGAAUAAGGAUCGGCUAACUCCGUGCCAGCAGCCGCGGUAAUACGGAGGAUCCGAGCGUUAUCCGGAUUUAUUGGGUUUAAAGGGUGCGUAGGUGGUUUGAUAAGUCAGCGGUGAAAGUUUGCAGCUUAACUGUAAAAUUGCCGUUGAAACUGUCGAUCUUGAGUGCAAAUGAGGUAAGCGGAAUGUGUUGUAUAGCGGUGAAAUGCUUAGAUAUAACACAGAACACCGAUUGCGAAGGCAGCUUACUGGGAUGCAACUGACGCUCAUGCACGAAAGCGUGGGGAUCAAACAGGAUUAGAUACCCUGGUAGUCC